rnacentral:rRNA from 1 species
AUACGUAGGGUGCGAGCGUUAAUCGGAAUUACUGGGCGUAAAGCGUGCGCAGGCGGUUUUGUAAGUCGGAUGUGAAAUCCCCGGGCUCAACCUGGGAACUGCGUUCGAAACUGCAAGGCUAGAGUGUGUCAGAGGGGGGUAGAAUUCCACGUGUAGCAGUGAAAUGCGUAGAGAUGUGGAGGAAUACCAAUGGCGAAGGCAGCCCCCUGGGAUAAUAUUGACGCUCAUGCACGAAAGCGUGGGGAGCAAACAGGAUUAGAUACCCUGGUAGUCCACGCCCUAAACGAUGUCUACUAGUUGUUGGUGGAGUAAAAUCCAUGAGUAACGCAGCUAACGCGUGAAGUAGACCGCCUGGGGAGUACGGUCGCAAGAUUAAA